UACGUAGGGGGCGAGCGUUGUCCGGAUUUAUUGGGCGUAAAGAGCGUGUAGGCGGCCAGGUAGGUCCGUUGUGAAAACUCGAGGCUCAACCUCGAGACGUCGAUGGAAACCAUCUGGCUAGAGUCCGGAAGAGGAGAGUGGAAUUCCUGGUGUAGCGGUGGAAUGCGCAGAUAUCAGGAGGAACACCGGUGGCGAAGGCGGGUCUCUGGGCAGUAACUGACGCUGAGGAGCGAAAGCGUGGGGAGCGAACAGG
rnacentral:rRNA from 1 species